UACGUAGGGUCCGAGCGUUGUCCGGAAUUACUGGGCGUAAAGCGCGCGCAGGCGGCCCGCGAGGUGUCACGUGAAAGCCCCGGGCUCAACCCGGGAGGGUCGUGGCAAACCGGCGGGCUUGAGGCCGGUAGAGGUGGGUGGAACUCCUGGUGGAGCGGUGAAAUGCGUAGAGAUCGGAAAGAACACCAACGGCGAAAGCACUCUGCUGGGCCGACACUGACACUGAGAGACGAAAGCUAGGGGAGCGAAUGGG
rnacentral:rRNA from 1 species